rnacentral:rRNA from 1 species
UAGGGAAUAUUAGAAAUGGACGAAAGUCUGAUCUAGCGACACCGCGUGUGCGAUGAAGGCCUUCGGGUUGUAAAGCACUUUUUGGAAGGAAUAGGAAGGAAGGUACUUCCAGAAUAAGUCUCGGCUAACUACGUGCCUGCGGCCGCGGUAACACGUAGGAGGCGAACGUUAUCCGGAUUUACUGGGCGUAAAGCGCGUGUAGGUGGUUCUGUAAGUAGGGCGUGAAAGCUCCCGGCUCAACUGGGAGAGGCCGUUCUAAACUGCAGAGCUAGAGGAUGGUAGAGGGAGGUGGAAUUCCAGGUGUAGCGGUGGAAUGCGCAGAUAUCUGGAGGAACACCAGUGGCGAAAGCGGCCUCCUGGACCAUUCCUGACACUCAGACGCGAAAGCUAGGGUAGCAAACGG